GUGAGUAGUUCAGAGUUUGAUCCUGGCUCAGGAUGAACGCUGGCGGCGUGCCUAACACAUGCAAGUCGAGCGGGAUUUUCCGGAUUGAAGCUUCGGCAGAUUGAAGGAAAUGAGAGCGGCGGACGGGUGAGUAACGCGUAGGCAACCUGCCCUUUGCAGAGGGAUAGCCAUUGGAAACGAUGAUUAAAACCUCAUAAUACCACCUGGUGACAUCACCGGAUGGUCAAAGAUUUAUCGGCAAAGGAUGGGCCUGCGUCUGACUAGCUAGUUGGUGGGGUAACGGCUCACCAAGGCGACGAUCAGUAGCCGACCUGAGAGGGUGAUCGGCCACAUUGGAACUGAGACACGGUCCAA
rnacentral:rRNA from 1 species